UAUAGAUACAUCGAUGUAUAUACUUAAUACAAAAAAGUUCAUAAAUACAUGGAAGAUAGAAGAUAUGGAUACAAGUACCGGAGACUUGAGAUUAAGGCUACUGAGGCUCUUCAAGGUAUCGUGUUUGUCUCGUAUUGGUCUAUUUGAAAAGCUCGAAACAAGAAGAUGUUCGAAAAUGGUAGGGUUUGUGUAGAUCGGAUUUUUGAGGAAAUAUAAGUCCUCGGAUUUAGUUGGUACAUAAAUAGAAACAAAAAGGUUUCCAUUACUUUGGAAAAAUUGGUGUAAAUUCACCUUGAUGUAAAAAUUUUCUUUUAUAUAUUUGCCACACCACUAUUUGUAUUUCA